UCGAGAGGCUUCGGCAAUGGGGGAAACCCUGACCGAGCGACGCCGCGUGGGUGAUGAAGAUUCUCGGAUCGUAAAACCCUGUCAGGUGGGAUGAAAAACCAUUCGGUUAAUACCCGAGUGGCUUGACAGUACCACCAGAGGAAGCUCCGGCCAACUCCGUGCCAGCAGCCGCGGUAACACGGGGGGAGCAAGCGUUGUUCGGAUUCAUUGGGCGUAAAGAGCUCGUAGGCGGCUAGGUCCGUCCGAUGUGAAAGCCCCCGGCUCAACCGGGGAAUUGCAUCGGAUACAGCCUGGCUUGAGGACGGUUGGGGUGAGUGGAACUCCUGGUGGAGCGGUGAAAUGCGUAGAUAUCAGGAGGAACACCGGUGGCGAAAGCGGCUCACUGGACCGUUACUGACGCUGAGGUGCGAAAGCUAGGGGAGCAAACGGGAUUAGAUACCCAUGUAGUCCCUGAGCGGGCUGGCAAGGCGCAU
rnacentral:rRNA from 1 species